rnacentral:lncRNA from 1 species
GCGAGUCAGAGGAUGAUGAGGCAGAUCCUGCAAGCUCUUCCCGCACUGCAACCCCUCUGUCCCGGCUGACUCCCCCGGCAAAGGCUCCUGGCAGCGCUUCACCUGCAUCGAGUUCAGGCAACCCUGCAGCCACGGAAAGCACUGGCUUUGGUGCGAUCUUCACCCGGUGUACCCUUGUUCUGACUGCUUCAUACACCACCUGGAAGGCGCCGUGCAGAUCUUAAUAUGGGUCAAGUCCAGGGAUUUAUUCCAGUCCUCAUGUGUGCAGGGCCGACAUGGCUGCGAGGCGUUUUAGGGACAUCAAAGAAAGUUGAGAUUCCAUCAGAAGCACGAGCGGC